UACGUAGGGGGCUAGCGUUGUCCGGAUUUAUUGGGCGUAAAGAGCGUGUAGGCGGCCAGGUAGGUCUGCUGUGAAAACUCGAGGCUUAACCUCGAGAUGUCGGCGGAAACCAUCUGGCUAGAGUCCGGAAGAGGAGAGUGGAAUUCCUGGUGUAGCGGUGAAAUGCGCAGAUAUCAGGAAGAACACCCGUGGCGAAGGCGGCUCUCUGGGACGGUACUGACGCUGAGACGCGAAAGCAUGGGGAGCGAACAGGAUUAGA
rnacentral:rRNA from 1 species